GUGUAGUAUGAAAGGAGAGACGUUUAGCACUCUCUUAAACAAGGAUGAAAGUAUAUAUUUUUUU